UACGAAGGGGCUAGCGUUGUUCGGAAUCACUGGGCGUAAAGGGCGCGUAGGCGGCCGAUCAAGUCGGGGGUGAAAGCCUGUGGCUCAACCACAGAAUUGCCUUCGAUACUGUUUGGCUUGAGACCGGAAGAGGUUAGUGGAACUGCGAGUGUAGAGGUGAAAUUCGUAGAUAUUCGCAAGAACACCAGUGGCGAAGGCGGCUCACUGGCCCGAUACUGACGCUGAGGCACGAAAGCGUGGGGAGCAACAGG
rnacentral:rRNA from 1 species